rnacentral:rRNA from 1 species
GACGAACGCUGGCGGCGUGCUUAACACAUGCAAGUCGAACGGAAAGGCCCUGCUUUUGUGGGGUGCUCGAGUGGCGAACGGGUGAGUAACACGUGAGUAACCUGCCCUUGACUUUGGGAUAACUUCAGGAAACUGGGGCUAAUACCGGAUAGGAGCUCCUGCUGCAUGGUGGGGGUUGGAAAGUUUCGGCGGUUGGGGAUGGACUCGCGGGUUAUCAGCUUGUUGGUGGGGUAGUGGCUUACCAAGGCUUUGAGGGGUAGCCGGCCUGAGAGGGUGACCGGCCACAUUGGGACUGAGAUACGGCCCAGACUCCUACGGGAGGCAGCAGUGGGGAAUCUUGCACAAUGGGCGGAAGCCUGAUGCAGCAACGCCGCGUGCGGGAUGACGGCCUUCGGGUUGUAAACCGCUUUCGCCUGUGACGAAGCGUGAGUGACGGUAAUGGGUAAAGAAGCACCGGCUAACUACGUG